CAGCCGCCGCGGGAAUACGUAGGGUGCAAGCGUUAAUCGGAAUUACUGGGCGUAAAGCGUGCGCAGGCGGUUAUAUAAGUCAGAUGUGAAAUCCCCGGGCUCAACCUGGGAACUGCAUUUGAGACUGUAUGGCUAGAGUGUGUCAGAGGGGGGUAGAAUUCCACGUGUAGCAGUGAAAUGCGUAGAUAUGUGGAGGAAUACCGAUGGCGAAGGCGGCUUUUUGGCCUGUAACUGACACUGAGGCGCGAAAGCGUGGGGAGCAAACAGGAUUAGAUACCCCCGUAGUCCCUGUCUCUUAUAC
rnacentral:rRNA from 1 species